UACGCGGCGCUGCAGGCGCGAGGGUGCACGGGCGCCCCGGCGUCUCCGCCUCCCCAGCAGCGCGAGCCCCUCGCCAGGCUCUGAAGAUGCGGCCUGGCCCUGGCCAUUAGGCCUUUCGUCUGAGCACAAAGGCUCCAGCACCUCCGCGGCCGAAGCCGCGGGACUUUUCGUGGAAAAUGGGACCCAGCCCGGUCGCCAGCGGCGCUGCAGCGGACUCUGCGGGAACCUAGCUUCUGCUCCAGGACCUCCAGGGCCACCCCAGCUCGCAGGGCGUUCGCAGCGGCUCAGGGCGAAUCACGCUCAUGGUCCCCUUGCGCAUUUUCAACCCCAGCCGGUCUUUCCAGAGACACAUAGAAGGUGCCAUCUAUGAGGAACAGGCCUUCACCAGACAUCAAAUCUGUUGGCAUCUUGAUCUUUGACUUCUCCACCACCAGAACUAGAUCAAGACAUGAAAUCCAUGUUCAAGAUACUUUCCAGUGUGUCUUCAUGUGACCCUCUGAGUCCAGCCAUCAGGCUACCAGCAGCUCUUGGAAACCCUGACAUACUUAUUCUUAGAAGACUGCUUUCUGGACUCAAAGUGGAACCUCAAAUUUUCAAUUUUCUUUGUUUUUAAAGCCUACACAUAGGUGAUGAUAUAUACAUGCAUAUAUAUUUUGGAGAAUUUAUAAUUCUGAAAACAAUGCUGGUCUUACGGAACCCAUCCAUUCCCCUUUCCCUGUGUGUGCUCUGAGCUGUGGUGGCACGUGGAAAGGGGUCCUUCCAGCAGUGGCCCACAGCCCUGGGCUGCUUACUUGCUCACUUCAUUUACAAGAGCAAGAAAUACACAUUCUUGUGUUAAGUCAUUAUGAUGUGGGGAUUUCCAUUACUCACACACCUGAUCUAGUAGUAACAUAGUAGCCUAUUUUAGCAAUAUCAUUUAUUCAACAAUCCAUUCUUUCCC